UGAAUACAUAGCGUAGCGAGGCGAACCGGGAGAACUGAAACAUCUAAGUACCCCGAGGAAAAGAAAUCAACCGAGAUUCCCUCAGUAGCGGCGAGCGAACGGGGAUUAGCCCUUAAGCAUCUUGGAAGUUAGUGGAACGGUCCUGGAAAGGCCGGCGAUACAGGGUGAUAGCCCCGUACACGAAAACAACCUUGAUGUGAAAUCGAGUAGGGCGGGACACGUGACAUCCUGUCUGAAUAUGGGGGGACCAUCCUCCAAGGCUAAAUACUCCUGACUGACCGAUAGUGAACCAGUACCGUGAGGGAAAGGCGAAAAGAACCCCUGUGAGGGGAGUGAAAUAGAACCUGAAACCGUGUACGUACAAGCAGUGGGAGCCCUUCGGGGUGACUGCGUACCUUUUGUAUAAUGGGUCAGCGACUUACAUUUUGUAGCGAGGUUAACCGUAUAGGGGAGCCGUAGGGAAACCGAGUCUUAACUGGGCGUCUAGUUGCAAGGUGUAGACCCGAAACCGGGUGAUCUAGCCAUGGGCAGGUUGAAGGUUGAGUAACAUCAACUGGAGGACCGAACCCACUAACGUUGCAAAGUUAGGGGAUGACCUGUGGCUGGGGGUGAAAGGCCAAUCAAACUCGGAGAUAGCUGGUUCUCCCCGAAAGCUAUUUAGGUAGCGCCUCGGACGAAUACUACUGGGGGUAGAGCACUGUUUGGGCUAGGGGGUCAUCCCGACUUACCAACCCCAUGCAAACUCCGAAUACCAGUAAGUAAUAUCCGGGAGACACACGGCGGGUGCUAACGUCCGUCGUGAAGAGGGAAACAACCCAGACCGCCGGCUAAGGUCCCAAAGUUCUGGUUAAGUGGGAAACGAUGUGGGAAGGCUCAGACAGCUAGGAUGUUGGCUUAGAAGCAGCCAUCAUUUAAAGAAAGCGUAAUAGCUCACUAGUCGAGUCGGCCUGCGCGGAAGAUGUAACGGGGCUCAAACCAGGCACCGAAGCCGCGGAUUCACGCUAAGCGUGAGUGGUAGGGGAGCGU
rnacentral:rRNA from 1 species